AGUGAACGCUGGCGGUAGGCCUAACACAUGCAAGUCGAACGGCAGCACAGUAAGAGCUUGCUCUUACGGGUGGCGAGUGGCGGACGGGUGAGGAAUACAUCGGAAUCUACUUUUUCGUGGGGGAUAACGUAGGGAAACUUACGCUAAUACCGCAUACGACCUACGGGUGAAAGCAGGGGAUCUUCGGACCUUGCGCGAUUGAAUGAGCCGAUGUCGGAUUAGCUAGUUGGCGGGGUAAAGGCCCACCAAGGCGACGAUCCGUAGCUGGUCUGAGAGGAUGACGGGACGCAGAGGAAGGGAGACACGGACCAGAGGACGAAGGGAGACACCGGGAGAGAGUGUGGGGGAAGGGCGGAUAGCGGGAAGGAGAAACGCCGGGGGAGUGAUGAAGGGCUCCGGAUCGUAAAACGCUGGUAUUAGGGAAGAAAAUAUGUGGAAGCAAGUGAGCACAGGGUGAGGGGACCUAAUCAGAAAGACACGGCGAACCACGUG
rnacentral:rRNA from 1 species